GGGAUAUAGCUCAAUUGGUAGAGCGCUUGCAUGGCAUGCAAGAGGUCAGGGGUUCAAUUCCCCUUAUCUCC
rnacentral:tRNA from 1 species